rnacentral:rRNA from 1 species
AAUCAACGCUGGCGGCGUGCCUAACACAUGCAAGUUGAGCGCUUGAGGGGGGCAACCCCCAAGAGAGCAGCGAACGGGUGAGUAACGCGUGGGUGAUCUUCCUUCGAGUGGGGAACAACAUCGGGAAACUGGUGCUAAUUCCGCAUAAUAUCCUCGGGCCACGAGCCUGGGGAUCAAAGCCGGGGACCGCAAGGCCUGGCGCUUGAAGAUGAGCCCGCGUCCGAUUAGCUAGUUGGCGGGGUAAUGGCCCACCAAGGCUCCGAUCGGUAGCCGGCCUGAGAGGGCGGACGGCCACACUGGAACUGAGACACGGUCCAGACUCCUACGGGAGGCAGCAGUGGGGAAUUUUUCGCAAUGGCGCAAGCCUGACGAAGCAACGCCGCGUGGAGGAUGAAGGUCUUCGGAUUGUAAACUCCUGUCGACCGGGACGAAUGCACUCGACCUAAUACGUCGGAAUGUUGACGGUACCGGUGGAGGAAGCCACGGCUAACUCUGUGCCAGCAGCCGCGGUAAUC